rnacentral:tRNA from 1 species
CUGGAUGUGGCGCAGUUGGUAGCGCACCUGGUUAGGGACCAGGAGGUCGAAGGUUCAAGUCCUUUCAUCCAGACCA